rnacentral:rRNA from 1 species
AUAUCAAUAAGCGGAGGAAAAGAAACUAACAAGGAUUCCCCUAGUAACUGCGAGUGAAGCGGGAAAAGCUCAAAUUUAAAAUCUGAUGGUCUUUGGCCGUCCGAGUUGUAAUUUAGAGAAGCGUUUUCCGCGCUGGACCGUGCACAAGUCUCCUGGAAUGGAGCGUCAUAGAGGGUGAGAAUCCCGUCUUUGACACGGACUGCCAGGGCUUUGUGAUGUGCUCUCAAAGAGUCGAGUUGUUUGGGAAUGCAGCUCAAAAUGGGUGGUAAAUUCCAUCUAAAGCUAAAUAUUGGCGAGAGACCGAUAGCGAACAAGUACCGUGAGGGAAAGAUGAAAAGAACUUUGGAAAGAGAGUUAAACAGUACGUGAAAUUGCUGAAAGGGAAACGCUUGAAGUCAGUCGCGUUGUCCAGGGAUCAACCUUGCUUUUGCUUGGUGCACUUUCUGGUUGACGGGUCAGCAUCAAUUUUGACCAUUGGAAAAAGAUUAGGGGAAUGUGACAUCUUAGGAUGUGUUAUAGCCCUUGGUUGCAUACAAUGGUUGGGAUUGAGGAAUUCAGCACGCCGCAAGGCCGGGUUUUCAACCACGUUCGUGCUUAGGAUGCUGGCAUAAUGGCUUUAAUCGA